rnacentral:rRNA from 1 species
GACGAACGCUGGCGGCGUGCUUAACACAUGCAAGUCGAACGGUGAAGCUCCAGCUUGCUGGAGUGGAUCAGUGGCGAACGGGUGAGUAACACGUGAGCAACCUGCCCCUGACUCUGGAAUAAGCGCUGGAAACGGCGGCUAAUACUGGAUACGAGAAGGGUCCGCAUGGGCACUUUCUGGAAAGUUUUGCGGUUGGGGAUGGGCUCGCGGCCUAUCAGCUUGUUGGUGAGGUAAUGGCUCACCAAGGCGACGACGGGUAGCCGGCCUGAGAGGGCGACCGGCCACACUGGGACUGAGACACGGCCCAGACUCCUACGGGAGGCAGCAGUGGGGAAUAUUGCACAAUGGGCGAAAGCCUGAUGCAGCGACGCCGCGUGAGGGAUGACGGCCUUCGGGUUGUAAACCUCUUUCAGCAGGGAAGAAGCGAAAGUGACGGUACCUGCAGAAGAAGCACCGGCUAACUACGUG